UCUACGGAGAGUUUGAUCCUGGCUCAGGACGAACGCUGGCGGCGUGCUUAACACAUGCAAGUCGAACGGUGAACCCGCUUCGGUGGGGGAUCAGUGGCGAAC
rnacentral:rRNA from 1 species